GUGAAGCACAUGAUGACGGCUUCCAGGAAAAGCUUCUGGCAAUGCAUAUGCGGCCCGUACCAAAACCGACACAGGUGGGCAGGGAGAGAAUCCCGAGGUGAGCGAGAGAACUGUUGCCAAGGAACUCGGCAAAAUGACUCCGUAAGUUAGCGAGAAGGAGUGCUUAAGCAAUUAAGCCGCAGUGAAGGGGCCCAAGCGACUGUUUAACUAAAACACAGCUCUCUGCGAAGUCGCAAGACGAAGUAUAGGGGGUGACACCUGCCCGGUGCUGGAAGGUUAAGAGGAUCUGUUAAGAGCGAUCUGAAGCAGUGAUCCGAAGCCCCAGUGAACGGCGGCCGUAACAAUAACGGUCCUAAGGUAGCGAAAUUCCUUGUAAGGUAAGUUCUGACCCGCACGAAAGGUGUAACGAUUUGGGCGCUGUCUCGGCAGCAGACUCGGUGAAAUCUUAGUACCUGUGAAAAUGCAGGUUACCCGCAACUAGACGGAAAGACCCCAUGGGGCUUUACUGCAGCCUGAUAUUGAAUUCUGGUCAUACAUGUACAGGAUAGGUGGGAGACAAAGAGACGUGCACGCCAGUGUACGAGGAGUCGUCGUUGGGAUACCACUCUUGUGUGACCGGGGUUCUAACCUGGUAUCGAGAACAGGUACGGGGAGAGUGUCAGGUGGGCAGUUUGACUGGGGCGGUCGCCUCCCAAAGAGUAACGGAGGCGCCCAAAGGUACGCUCAGAUUGGAUGGAAACCAAUCGUCGAGUGCAAUUGCAGAAGCGUGCUUGACUGUGAGACAAACAAGUCGAACAGGGACGAAAGUCGGGAAUAGUGAUCCGGCGGUGCCGAAUGGAAGGGCCGUCGCUCAACGGAUAAAAGCUACCCUGGGGAUAACAGGCUGAUCUCGCCCAAGAGUUCACAUCGACGGCGAGGUUUGGCACCUCGAUGUCGGCUCAUCGCAUCCUGGAGCUGGAUUCGGUUCCAAGGGUUGGGCUGUCCGCCCAUUAAAGCGGUACGCGAGCUGGGUUCAGAACGUCGUGAGACAGUUCGGUCCCUAUCUGUUGUGGGCGAAGGAGAUCUGCGGAGAGCUGACCUCAGUACGAGAGGACCGGGAUGGACCUACCGCUGGUGCACCGGUUGUUCCGCCAGGGGCAUAGCCGGGUAGCUAAGUAGGGAAAGGAUAAGCGCUGAAAGCAUCUAAGCACGAAGCCUACUCCAAGAUGAGAUCUCCCAUUCGCAAGAAGUAAGACCCCUUAAAGACGAUAAGGUAGAUAGGCCAGGGAUGGAAGUGCAGU
rnacentral:rRNA from 1 species